UACAGAGGGUGCGAGCGUUGUUCGGAAUUAUUGGGCGUAAAGGGCGCGUAGGCGGUGCCACAAGUCACUUGUGAAAUCUCCGGGCUUAACUCGGAGCCUGCAGGCGAGACUGUGGUGCUGGAGUGUGGGAGAGGUGCGUGGAAUUCCCGGUGUAGCGGUGAAAUGCGUAGAUAUCAGGAGGAACACCGGUGGUGUAGACGGCUCACUGGACCGUAACUGACGCUGAGGCACGAAAGCGUGGGUAGCAAACAGG
rnacentral:rRNA from 1 species